rnacentral:rRNA from 1 species
CAAUAGCGUAUAUUAAAGUUGUUGCGGUUAAAAAGGCUCGUAGUUGGAUUUCUGGCAGGAUGACUUUGCCCUCUGUAGAGUGCGCAAUGCUGUCCUACCAUCCUUCUGUUAACCCUGGAGGCCUUUAACAGCUUGUAGGGGGCUCAGAUAUUUUACCUUGAGAAAAAUUUAGAGUGUUUCAGGCAGGCUAGCGCCGGAAUACAUUAGCAUGGAAUAAUAGAAUAGGACUUUUGCCUCUUCUGUUGGUCUGAGGGGUGUAAGUAAUGAUUAAUAGGGAUAGUUGGGGGCAUUAGUACUUAACUGUCAGAGGUGAAAUUCUCGGAUUUGUUAAAGACUAACUUAUGCGAAA